rnacentral:rRNA from 1 species
GCCCCCGGGCGUCGAACAGCCAACUCAGAACUGGUACGGACAAGGGGAAUCCGACUGUUUAAUUAAAACAAAGCAUUGCGAUGGUCCCUGCGGAUGUUUACGCAAUGUGAUUUCUGCCCAGUGCUCUG